rnacentral:rRNA from 1 species
GUGCCAGCCGCCGCGGUAAUACGAAGGGUGCAAGCGUUGUUCGGAUUUAUUGGGCGUAAAGCGCGCGUAGGCGGACCCGCAAGUCAGAUGUGAAAUCUCAGGGCUCAACCCUGAAACUGCGUCUGAAACUACUGGUCUAGAAUCUUGGAGAGGGAAGGGGAAUUUCGCAUGUAGGGGUAAAAUCCGUAGAUAUGCGAAGGAACACCAGAGGCGAAGGCGCCUUCCUGGACAAGUAUUGACGCUGAGGCGCGAAAGCGUGGGGAUCAAACAGGAUUAGAUACCCCCGUAGUCC